CCCCCUGUGAGAAUGCCCUACCCCUUUCCCCUCAGUAAGGAAGGAGCAGGUAUCAGGCACAAAUUGAUCUUAGCCCAUGACACCUCGCCCAGCCACACCUCCAAAGGAACCCAGCAGUAAUAGACAUUAAGCAAUAAGUGUAAACUUGACUUAGUUAAUAUCAAGAGGGCCGGUUAAACUCGUGCCAGCCGCCGCGGUUAUACGAGAGGCCCAAGUUGACAGCCCACCGGCGUAAAGAGUGGUUAAUAGUUUCUUGACUAAAGCCGAACACCUCCAAGGCUGUUAUACGCACCCGAAGGCAGGAAGCUCUCCCACGAAAGUGACUUUAAAACACUAUGACCCCACGAACGCUAGGACACAAACUGGGAUUAGAUACCCCACUAUGCCUAGCCCUAAACACAAAUAUGACUUUACCCCCAUAUUCGCCAGGGAACAACGAGCCCCAGCUUAAAACCCAAAGGACUUGGCGGUGCUUUAGUCCCCCUAGAGGAGCCUGUUCUAGAACCGAUACUCCCCGUUCAACCUCACCCUCCCUUGUUUUCCCC
rnacentral:rRNA from 1 species